UUAUACAGCGAAACUGCGAAUGGCUCAUUAAAUCAGUUAUCGUUUAUUUGAUAGUCCCCUACUACUUGGAUAACCGUGGUAAUUCUAGAGCUAAUACAUGCUAAAAACCGCGACUUCGGAAGCGGUGUGUUUAUUAGAUUAAAGACCGAUGCCCUCCGGGGCUGACUGGUGAUUCAUGAUAACCUUACGAAUCGCACGGCCUCGCGCCGGCGAUGGUUCAUUCAAAUUUCUGCCCUAUCAACUUUCGACUUUAGUGUAGUGGACUAAAGUGGUUGCAACGGGUAACGGAGGGUUAGGGCUCGACCCCGGAGAAGGAGCCUGAGAAACGGCUACUACAUCCAAGGAAGGCAGCAGGCGCGCAAAUUACCCAAUCCCGACGCGGGGAGGUAGUGACAAUAAAUACUGAUACAGGGCUCUUUUGGGUCUUGUAAUUGGAAUGAGUACAAUUUAAAUCCCUUAACGAGGAACAAUUGGAGGGCAAGUCUGGUGCCAGCAGCCGCGGUAAUUCCAGCUCCAAUAGCGUAUAUUAAAGUUGUUGUGGUUAAAAAGCUCGUAGUUGAACCUGGGCCCCGCGCCCGCCGGUCCGCCUCACCGCGUGCACUGGUGCGGCCGGGGCUUUCACCUGGGGAACCGCAUGUCCUUCGCUGGGCGUGCGUGGAACCAGGACCUUUACUGUGAAAAAAUUAGAGUGUUCAAAGCAGGCCUAUGCUCGGAUACAUUAGCAUGGAAUAAUAGAAUAGGACGCGUGGUUCUAUUUUGUUGGUUAUGGGACCGCCGUAAUGAUUAAUAGGGCCAGUCGGGGGCAUCAGUAUUCAGUAGUCAGAGGUGAAAUUCUUGGAUUUACUGAAGACUAACUACUGCGAAAGCAUUUGCCAAGGAUGUUUUCAUUAAUCAGGAACGAAAGUUAGGGGAUCGAAGACGAUCAGAUACCGUCGUAGUCUUAACCAUAAACUAUGCCGACUAGGGAUCGGGCGAUGUUACAUUCUGACUCGCUCGGCACCUUACGAGAAAUCAAAGUCUGUG
rnacentral:rRNA from 1 species